UACGAAGGGGGCUAGCGUUGCUCGGAAUCACUGGGCGUAAAGCGCACGUAGGCGGCUUACUAAGUCAGGGGUGAAAUCCUGGAGCUCAACUCCAGAACUGCCUUUGAUACUGGUGAGCUUGAGUCCGGAAGAGGUGAGUGGAACUGCGAGUGUAGAGGUGAAAUUCGUAGAUAUUAGGAAGAACACCAGUGGCGAAGGCGGCUCACUGGAUCGGUACUGACGCUGAGGUGCGAAAGCGUGGGGAGCAAACAGG
rnacentral:rRNA from 1 species